AACGAACGCUGGCGGCAGGCUUAACACAUGCAAGUCGAACGCCCCGCCAGGGGAGUGGCAGACGGGUGAGUAACGCGUGGGAAUCUACCCAUCCCUACGGAAUAACGCAUGGAAACGUGUGCUAAUACCGUAUACGCCCUACGGGGGAAAGAUUUAUCGGGGAUGGAUGAGCCCGCGUUGGAUUAGUUAGUUGGUGGGGUAAAGGCCUACCAAGGCGACGAUCCAUAGCUGGUCUGAGAGGAUGAUCAGCCACAUUGGGACUGAGACACGGCCCAAACUCCUACGGGAGGCAGCAGUGGGGAAUAUUGGACAAUGGGCGCAAGCCUGAUCCAGCCAUGCCGCGUGAGUGAUGAAGGCCUUAGGGUUGUAAAGCUCUUUCACCGGAGAAGAUAAUGACGGUAUCCGGAGAAGAAGCCCCGGCUAACUUCGUG
rnacentral:rRNA from 1 species